GACGAACGCUGGCGGCGUGCUUAACACAUGCAAGUCGAACGGAAAGGCCCUGCUUGCAGGGUACUCGAGUGGCGAACGGGUGAGUAACACGUGGGUGAUCUGCCCUGCACUUCGGGAUAAGCUUGGGAAACUGGGUCUAAUACCGGAUAGGAGCCAUCUUUAGUGUGGUGGUUGGAAAGUUUUUUCGGUGUAGGAUGAGCUCGCGGCCUAUCAGCUUGUUGGUGGGGUAAUGGCCUACCAAGGCGGCGACGGGUAGCCGGCCUGAGAGGGUGUACGGCCACAUUGGGACUGAGAGACGGCCCAGACUCCUACGGGAGGCAGCAGUGGGGAAUAUUGCACAAUGGGCGCAAGCCUGAUGCAGCGACGCCGCGUGGGGGAUGAAGGCCUUCGGGUUGUAAACUCCUUUCGCUAGGGAAGAAGCUUUUUUGUGACGGUACCUAGAGAAGAAGCACCGGCUAACUACGUG
rnacentral:rRNA from 1 species